rnacentral:misc_RNA from 1 species
UGGCCUCCAAUGAAGACAGGAAGAAAUAUGCUCGUUACCUUCUUAGGUCUUAUGUUGAAGACAACAAAAAGACUAAAUGGUGCCCAGCACCUGGUUGUGAGCAUGCUGUUCUCUUUGAUGCUGGCAAUGGAAAUUAUGAUGUUUCUUGCUUCUGCACAUAUGGCUUUUGCUGGAAAUGCACAGAAGAAGCUCACCGUCCUGUAGAUUGUGCUACUGUGGAAAAAUGGAUUUUAAAGAACAGUGCUG